rnacentral:rRNA from 1 species
AGAUUGAACGCUGGCGGCGUGCUUAACACAUGCAAGUCGAACGUGAAAGGGGCUUCGGCCCUAAGUAAAGUGGCGCACGGGUGAGUAACACGUGGAUAAUCUGCCCUUAUGAUCGGGAUAACAGUCGGAAACGGCUGCUAAUACCGGAUACGCUCAAAAUGAACUUUUUGAGGAAAGGUGACCUCUGCUUGCAAGUUACUGCAUGAGGAUGAGUCCGCGGCCCAUUAGCUAGUUGGUAGGGUAACGGCCUACCAAGGCAACGAUGGGUAGCCGAUUUGAGAGGAUGAUCGGCCACACUGGGACUGAAACACGGCCCAGACUCCUACGGGAGGCAGCAGUGGGGAAUAUUGCGCAAUGGGCGAAAGCCUGACGCAGCGACGCCGCGUGAGGGAAUGAAGGUUUUCGGAUCGUAAACCUCUGUCAGAAGGGAAGAAACCGCACCGUGCUAAUCAGCGGUGCAUUGACGGUACCUUCAAAGGAAGCACCGGCUAACUCCGUGCCAGCCGCCGC